CGCGUAGGCGGCUUUGUAAGUCGGGGGUGAAAGCCUGUGGCUCAACCACAGAAUUGCCUUCGAUACUGCAUGGCUUGAGACCGGAAGAGGUUAGUGGAACUGCGAGUGUAGAGGUGAAAUUCGUAGAUAUUCGCAAGAACACCAGUGGCGAAGGCGGCUGACUGGUCCGGUUCUGACGCUGAGGCGCGAAAGCGUGGGGAGCAAACA
rnacentral:rRNA from 1 species